ensembl:lncRNA
CCCGGACCCAGGCCCUACCCGCGCGGGCCUCAGGGCCACAGGUCUCCUCCCCGCCCUCAGGGCCCUGCCGCCCCACGCGCUUAGGACCUGUGCUCCCGCCCAGCCCCAGGCCCAGAAUGCCGGCCGGACCUCGGGCUUUGGGACGGGGCGCCGCCCUCCGCGCCCCGACCCGCCCGGGUCACAGAGCCUGUGCCUGGCUCUGCAGCCGUGAGACCCUCGCCUCCCUCGCGUGACCUCCUGGCCAGCGGGAAGCCGAGUUAGGAAGUACGGUGGGCCCCCUCUCCCCCUGCGCCUAGCCGGUGAGACGCUCCGCAGGGGACUGACAGCCAGCUACGCUCCUAGAGGCUGGGCUGGGCCGCAGCCCCCCGCCCCUUGCCCAUUGCUUUGCAGACCUGCCCGUCAGCCCAGAGCCACACUUAGCAGGAGGGAAGCAAAGACGGUCUGGAGGAGCUGGGCACAAAGAAGUCUGGUGGCUAGAACUGAGCAGUCGGGGUGGGGCAGCCACCUGGGAACCCCAGGUCCCAGGCAAGGGACCAAAGGGCACCCAGCAGGCAGCCGCCAGACCGUUCUGCACUGACUUCAGUGCCUUCAAGGGUGCCGCACGUCUUCUCAGCAAGAGGCUCCACCCCGGAGUCCAAGGCGGUGUCCAGGAGGUUGAGGCACCUGGGUGAUGCCCCUCAGCCUGGCUGAGCUACGGGAAGUGUAGGAAGCCCAGCCCCUCUCCCCACCCAGAGUGGUCCUCCUGGACAGAGCAGGUCCUGUCCCUCACACCCUCCCUGGGGGUCCUGGCCACCUACCAAGACAGCCUGGCCCCCACCCAUUGGUCUUCGUGUGUACAAAACAGCAGAAACAAAUCUCAAACAUUUAAAAUGGGGGUUGUUGGCUUGAAAGGGGGAAUGCGAUUGCUGGGGGAAUUUCAAGGGAGAGUAGAUGAUGUCUACAACCUCAGGCUGCAGGCUAGACUGCAGGGCAGAGCUUUGGACAUUGUCCUUCCUGGGUGGCACAGGGCAGCCUCCGGGGAUGACCCCACGUGGAUGAAGUGAGGGUUGGCAGUGCUGCCCUCUGAGAGCAGGAGGUAGGGGUGGGUCCCCGACCUCAGGGAGGGGAACCACACAGACCAGACAGCGAGGGGCUCAGCCAGGAGGAAACUACCCACAGAGGCCAUAAUGGUGCCUACCUGUGGGCAGCUCCUGCCAGCCUGUCCCUCACCUCUUGGGUAGGCUCAAGCUUGGCCAAGCUGUAUUGCAGGUCUCCUGGCCACAGGAGGCCCGGGGUUCUUGCAGGAGCAGCUGUGGAUUGGGUGGGACCAUGGUGACCAGCAGUCUCAGAGGCCAGUGGCCUGAAGGGAGAGCAGGAAGGGCCUCCAGAAACCUCUGGGUGCCUACAAUCCCAGACCCCAAGCACUGGCCUGGGGGGCUUCAAUGUGAGAAAGUGUCAGUUGCACCCAAAGGUCAAGACGAGCUAAAGCAGAUGUUUCAGUGGUGGGCGGCCAGGUCCCUGGGUCCUGAACAUCAAUCAUCAUAUGUUGUAAGAGGCUCCUGCGUGUUUUCGUCCAUGUGCGGGGCAGCAUGGGCUGCUGGGAGGGUGGUAGACCAGAGUGAGCUCCGGUCCCUGGAUGCCCGUGGGCUGCAGGGGUCAUGGCUGCCCAUGGACACUGGGUCAGCAGGCUCACAGAGCCCCUGCCUCCCACCCUGGGGUGAGGUCAGGUGGACCCUGCAGCCCAGCCCACAGCAGCGGGCAGGGACCUCCCAUAGUGUCCCGUGUGGCACCAAAUAGAAGCCACAUUCCCAAGGCCCAGGGCUGUCUGCCCAGCCACUGCUGUCUGUGGCCAGCCUCCCGUCCCUACCUCCUCCCAGUGGGACCUGAGGUGAGGCUGGUCCCGGGCUCAGGGGCUUUUUGGUUAGGGUGCGCCUCAGGGCAACCGCUUAGCCCUGAGCCUCAGUUUCCCUCCAGUGAGCCAGUGAGGAUGAGGACCGAGGACAGGAGGGCUCUUGGCAUAGUCACGGCCUCUAUGAGCAGGGCUCAUCGACAGUUAACAAGCACAGCAGCCUCUUCCUGCCAAAGCCCAGACACGGGCACAGACAGAUCCCAUUGGAGGAGGGCAGAAAGGCUCUGUCUAGCCGACCUUGGUUAGUGCUCCGCACUGUCCUGGGCUCUGGCCCACGUUAUCCGGGUGCCUUGACUGACUGCACGAGGGAGCACAGGGGCUGCCCUGCCCUGUGGGUGAGGAAGUCCUGGUGGGCAGCCUGGUGAGGGCCUGGUCUGACUCCCCAAGCCCCAGGAAGCCCCUGCUGGGUGAGCGGGGCCCUCGCCUCGCCACCUUGGGGUGCCCUGGGCUGUCCCUGCUCCCCCUUCCCUGGACACAGGUCCCUGGGCUGCAGUUCCACUCUGACCCUGUCAGUUCCCCCUGCAGCUUCAGGGCCACCUCCUGGGGGUGCAGAAGAGGCCACACCCUGGACCAACAGUCAGAAUAGCAAUAUCAGACAGCAACAGGACAGAGGAUGCUCAGAAGACAUGGGAAUAAGCAGGGCCGGUGGGAGUGGAGCCGGGGCAAGGUGGGGUUGGAAGCCAACUGUUUGGAAGCCUGACCCCCGUCCUCACUGCCAGAAUCUGCACCCAGUCCCCUGCCUGCCACAUGACACAUCCUUGGGGACAGAGCCCCUGGGCCCCACCAUGCCUGGGGAGGCCACACUGGCUGCAGAUAAGCUGUUCAGGAAGCCUGCAGUGACAUUAUUAGUGCUGUGAAGAGACCAAGAGCUGUGUGCCGUAGGUGGGGAAGCCACAUGGGAGAGCCGACGGGAUUUGGCAGGAAAGGGAGAGAAGUGGAAGGGAAGAGGUGUGCUCUGUCCACAGGGGUCUGUCAAGGCCAAGCAUCCUAACAAACCACUAAAAUACUAGACCAGGGCCAGUUUCAACCCUACAGUAAGAUAGGUCAGUUACCAAGGUCACAGGGCACAAAGUACGACUGUGCCUCUAAAUACUAGCAACAAGCACUGGUGUAUCCCGUACUAGAGGGGCUCCCUAGAACAGAUUUAAUGUAAUACUGUGAAGAUACAUGAUUCACAAGGUAGGGUCACAGUGGCUGCCUGCAGUCAGCUGUGGGAGGUGAAAGGGCCGUCUGUGUGCCUGAGAGCCAAACGUCCCGUCAGAGGGGAGGCGCAGAGCUCACAGCAGUGUCCCAUGGAGUCCAUGACAGGAAGCUAAGAGUCUGCACUGAAGCCCGGAAACAGACACCCAAAGGCAAAGGUGAAGGCUGGAGCUCCUCUGAAGACACAGAAGUGAGCCUUCUUCCCUUUUAUUCCACCCAGGCCGCAAGCCCAUUGGUUGGCACCGUCCACACCCACGCCCAUGGUGGGUCUUCCUUCAAAAUCCAGCAGCUGUUUCAAAAUUGAUACGGAGACGUGGAGGACGCACAGCAGCAGAAACAUUUUGAGAAAGAAAAGCAAAGAAGACUUCAGAUGCGGACCUGCUCACUUGCGACAGCCAAUCGAUCACACACAGGAGCUGGUGACCUCGAGGGAAAGGGACAGUGCUCAGUCAAGGGGCCCCAAGAACAGCGGGCUGUGGAUGUGGGCAGACGUGAGCCUCGGCCUGGGGCGGCUCCCGGGCAGGCACUCCCUAGCAUUCUGGAGGCUGGGGCUGUUCCCGAACCACACUCCAAGGUGAGCACACUGUGCACACACAUCAGUUCGAAGUGCAUGAUGGACUGAAAUGAAAAGCCCCUGCUCAGGCCCACAGCCCACAGCUAGAUACCUUGUGAGGCGGAAGAGGCAGACUGUAAAAUGAACAGUGCUGUUCAGUGUGGUGGUCAUUAUGUAAUAGCCACAUAUGGCUAUUUAAAUUAAAGUCAACUAAAAUGAAGUUACAAACUCCACUCCUCGCCACUUCUGUGCUCACAGGACAGACAGCUGGUGACUGCCAUUGUCUCAGAAAAGUCUCCACGGCAAGUGUCCUCUUUCUUCACUGUGACUGUCAGGCUUGAUCUGGCCAUGACCUGUUUAAUGAAUGUGCUGUUUAAUUCCAAGCUACAGUUUCAGCAGAUACAAAAAAACUGCAGCCCUCAGCAAAACAUGCAGCUAAAAAAACAGAUACAGGCUGUGCUGUCUGUGGGCGGGGAGAACACAGAACGGGAUGUUAUAAAAAACCACGAAGUUAGACCACAAAGUACAGCGCAUCUUCCCAGCCCAAGUUACCUGGCAACACCCAUUUUAAGACCGAGGGCCUUACCAAACGCUCGGAGGAGCUGACUAGUGAAGCACACCCAGGAAUCCCAGCGGUGCCUUCAGAAUGUAAGACCAAGAGCCUUACCAAACGCUCCGAGGAGCUGACUACAGCGAAGAACACCCGGGAAGGAACACACCGGACAAGUUGGAAAAUAAAACAGACCUUUAUUAGUCUGGCCAGACGGCACUCCCAAAGCAAAAUAGCUUAGAGAGGCAACUGGCUCAGAGUCCGAGGCUGUUUUUAUAGGGGGUUGAGGGGGAAGUUAACAUACAGAAUUAAAGAAAAGGGGACAAAGGUUAGUGGUCGAGUGUCACGUAUUGAUGGUCAGCAGACAUUUACAGCUUUUUCUAAAAAUUGUGGUGCCCGGAACAUCAGUUCCGGGCAGACAAGGAGUUGAGUAGUUUACUUUGGGACUUUAGGUCUGUUACAGAUUUUUAUCUAGUGUCCCAAAACUAACAAACAUCUUUAUCCAUUAACUCACAUUUAAUCACAAUGGGGCUGGAGAAAAGGAACAAAGGUUAUGCAGUCCCACACCAUUGAUGGCUGCAUGGUCCCGACUGCAAAUAUGUGCUCUGACUCCGUAUGCGACAGACCCCUUCCCAAUCCCCUAUAAAACUGCACCUUGCCUUUGUCCUCCACUGAUGGCUUUGUUGGCCUCCGUGGGCCUGCACCCAGAGGAAUCAAGCCUGUGCCUUGUUUCCUUCCAUGAGCCUGCUUAGGUGGUCUCAGUCCUCCACCAUUUGUCCAGUAACAAAAUCCCUGAGAUAAUGGACUCGUAAAAAGGAGCAGUCUGGUCGCACAGUCCGGGGGCUCAGUACGUGGCUGCUGGGCCCAGGGUUUGGGGCCAUGGUGAGGCAGACACCAUGAGUGAGGUGUGGUGCACAGUGGAGCAGAGCUGCUCGCCUCAUGUCUUGCAGGCAGAGGGAACCAGGAAGGGCCAGGACUCCUGUGUCCCGCACAGGAACCCCAAGGCCUCCCACCAAGCUGGGCCUCUUGCAGCUUCUCCUCCUCCCGGUGGUUCCUCCAUGGGGACGGAGCUGCACACAUAGGCCUUGGGGCACUGCCAGCCAAACUCUCAGUGCUUCAUGGGUGGGAGCAGGAAGGCGUCCUCCCAGCUGGGCGGCGCACAGGAAGCUGAGGUUGCAACAGGGAGGGUAUCGAGUGCUCCUCCAUACGUGGGACCCUGCGGCAAACACACAGGUGGCCACACUGGGAGGAAGUACUCAGGUCCUGUGUCUGGCCCGACAGGACUUGGACCCACCUGUGUUGUGCCCAGAUUACGAAGUCCCAAAGACCACCAGAAGGCCGUUUCCGAUGUAAGCACAUGAGGGUCAUUUAUUCAAGCUUAAGCAGGGACUCUCAAUUGUCACCGACACAGCGGAUCAAGAUUGAGAGCCCCGAGUUCCAAAUUAGCAGGGUUUUUAUUGAGAUUACAGCAAGCUUCAGUCAUUAGCAGCCAUAUGAUUGGUUAACAUUUAGCAAGUAUGAAGUGUCGAAUUUUGAUUGGCUAGGCUCAUUGGGGGUUGAAGGGGAUUACGUAUAGGUUUUUACAAGAAAAAUGGGGACAAAGGUUAGUGGUCUACUGUCACGUACUGAUGGUCAGCAGACAUCUUGACUCAUGGUCAUGACCACCUUGUGUGGAUAGUCAGCACGUUAACAGAUUGUCCUAUAGAUAGUGGGCCCGGGACACUUGUUUCUAGGGCAAACAGAUGGCUGAGUCAUGAGCUUAGGAAUCUUGAGUUACAGAUCAUGUCUUUAGUCCCAGAUUAAGCACAUUUAAUCAUUAAUUUGAAAGAACAAAGGAGACUGCUCCAUUUUGGACAAAAUGGAGUCAUUCUGGUCUCACAUUCACAAAAUGGAGUCACUUUUGGUCUCACACAUGGAAGACAUGAACAACCGGUACAACCCAGAAAUGAAAAGAUCAAUAACCCAAUUGAAAGAUAUGCGUGAGACAGACCCAUUACAGAGAUAGACAAAUGACUAACAUGCAUAUGACCAUGUGCCUCGGGUCACUUGUCGUUUGUCCGGGAAAGAGGACCACGCCUCUCCCGUGAGAGGCUGACACUGAAGGCAGUGCUGAGCUUUGGCGAGGUGUUAAAUGGCCCAUCUCGUGGGACACAGUGCAGCGAGCGCAGCGCCGCCCUGGCUCAGCCACAGCCUGCUCGGGCUCCGCCUUCCAGCAGAGGCUGGGGCCCAGGUUUGCCCUGACUGUGUGGAGUCGGAGGGCAGGCGGCAUCCGGACGCGCACGAGCAGACAAGGGAGGCUGGAGGUGGAGACAGCUCAGGAUAGCAGGAAGCCGCCCGGUGAGAGGCCCCACUGCCCGGGCGGGAGUCGCCGUGAGGUCCCCGCAGCAGCGCUGUCCUGCCAAGGCGGCGGUGCUGGGCGGGCAGGGCUGGGGCCCUGCUCCGGCCAGGGGUCCGCUGUGCCUGUGGAGGCGGAGGGCGCCCAAGGGUCAGACCGGGUCCAGCCGCACGCCCCUCGGCGCGGUUUAUGGCCUGGGAAUUGCACCUCCAUAAAAUUGAUUUUUUGAGUGCUCACCACCCGCCCUCCCCUCCUGGGAGUCCGUGCUGGCCCAGCUAGUCCUGAGGGGGACGGCGGAUGGGCCGCAGGAAGAGGCAGAGAGCCAGGGGAGUCCAGCAGGAGGGCCUGGGAGGGCGCGGAGGCCGGGCGGGGGGCGCGGGCGGCAGCUGGUGCCCGGCCUGGGCUGUAGCUGGGACUCUGUGCCCUGGAGCACCUGGAGGUGGGUGUGUUCGCAUCGCCGCGUGGCCCCCACAUCUCAACAGGGAGACCCCCGCCCCGCUCAGCCCCAGGGGCUGCACUCCAGGCUGCAGACCCCUGAGCCCUGCAUCUCAGGGUCUGGCUCUCCUUGGGCCUGGGGCUAUGCACUGCCCGGUUCCAGAACCAGCCACGAGGGGGCAGGGUGGGCAGCGAGCUCCCGCACCCCAGACCCCACCCCACCUGCAGCGUGCCCAGGUCGCCUCCCGUUCUGGGCUGCUCCCUGUGGGUAGGGCGCCCCACCUCUCCAAGACCCUGUGUGCCCCCAGGGCUGCACGGGACCCUCCCCUCGCCCACCCAGUCCCCAGCGAGGUCCCUGCCCGCCCCCUCCGCCCUGCGAC